rnacentral:tRNA from 1 species
GGGCACUUAGAUCAGCGGAAGAUCGCUGCCUUCGCAAGGCAGAGGCCGGGGGUUCAAAUCCCCCAGUGUCCA